UGGGGAAUAUUGCACAAUGGAGGAAACUCUGAUGCAGCAACGCCGCGUGAGUGAAGAAGGUCUUCGGAUUGUAAAGCUCUGUUAAUCGGGACGAAAUAUGACGGUACCGAUAGAGGAAGCCACGGCUAACUACGUGCCAGCAGCCGCGGUAAUACGUAGGUGGCGAGCGUUGUCCGGAAUUACUGGGCGUAAAGGAUGCGUAGGUGGAUAAUUAAGUCAGAUGUGAAAAUCCCGGGCUCAACUUGGGAACUGCAUUUGAAACUGGAUAUCUAGAGUGCAGGAGAGGAAAGCGGAAUUCCUAGUGUAGCGGUGAAAUGCGUAGAUAUUAGGAAGAACACCAGUGGCGAAGGCGGCUUUCUGGACUGUAACUGACACUGAGGCAUGAAAGCGUGGGGAGCAAACAGG
rnacentral:rRNA from 1 species